AUUGAACGCUGGCGGCAUGCUUUACACAUGCAAGUCGAACGGUAACAGGCCUUCGGGUGCUGACGAGUGGCGAACGGGUGAGUAAUGCAUCGGAACGUACCCAGAGGUGGGGGAUAACGCAGCGAAAGCUGUGCUAAUACCGCAUGUGAUCUGAGGAUGAAAGCGGGGGACCGAGCAGCAAUGUUUGGCCUCGCGCCUUUGGAGCGGCCGAUGUCGGAUUAGCUAGUUGGUGGGGUAAAGGCCUACCAAGGCGACGAUCCGUAGCUGGUCUGAGAGGACGACCAGCCACACUGGGACUGAGACACGGCCCAGACUCCUACGGGAGGCAGCAGUGGGGAAUUUUGGACAAUGGGCGCAAGACUGAUCCAGCAAUGCCGCGUGCGGGAAGAAGGCCUUCGGGUUGUAAACCGCUUUUGGCAGGAACGAAACGGUGUCCGCUAAUACCGGGCGCUAAUGACGGUACCUGCAGAAUAAGCACCGGCUAACUACGUG
rnacentral:rRNA from 1 species